rnacentral:lncRNA from 1 species
CGGGUGACUAAUAGUUCUGUUUAGUUGUUUUUUUCCUCUUUCCAGCUAUCUAUUUUCUUCAAUUUUUUCAUUUCCAGUUCACUCUUAACUCUUUUAGGUGUUGGAGAGGACUCAAAUAUAAAUACUAUGAGCAUGUUUGACUAAGCUUAAAAAGUAAAUUUAUAUACAACUAAGAAAGUUUUAAAAUCAAUAAUUUUUUUGAUUGCUUAAAUCUGUAAAUGAGUUAUGUUACUUCGACACUAAGGGUCAAGUUCUUUCAAAAUAAGUAACUUCUUUUACAUACUUAAAAGUAAUCUAACCCAACAUGUUUGGAACAAUGAUUUUUACAUUGCUUAGCCAAACAUGGUCUAUAUCUUGUCUGAAAAUGUACCUGAAUGAAGAAAAAGGUAGAUAGUAACGAUGAUUCAGUUUUAAUUCAUUUAACUUCGAUAAUCAUAUAAUAAACCCUUUGCAAUUGCUUCUUCAGGGCCUUGGCAGGUGAUGUUAAAGCAAACAGAUGGUUCUUAUGCUUGCGUAGCAGAGAGCACAAAUCGUUUCACUCUGGGUGAAGUAAAUAUGCAUCUGAUCCUGUCAACUGCACUUUUUUGGUGACUUCAUAUACGUGAUAACCAAACCUUAUGAACUUUGCUUUUAUUUGGCAUGGUAGACUAAAGAAGAACUAUUGAGGGUCCUAGGAUUGCAGGAGGAACAAGGAAGCUCACUCGAGUUCCUUCGAAGAGGUUACAAGGUUUUCCUUUCUUCCUCCCUCACUCCCUAGUGUUCAAAUCAGAUUUUUCGUGUUUUCUGUUUCUUGUUAUCCUUUAUUGUGUUUCAAAUUGGUCGCUGAAGUUCGCUUUUUGUUUCAAGGUAGAGGUCAGAAAUUCCAAUGGAAAAACUAACCGAUCUUAACCAAGUGACCAAACUCAAAACAAAAAAAGGUCCAGUUUGGAACAAAAUAAAAUUUGAGUUAGCAAGAUGAGACUUUUCUACGAGUGCCUAAUUGUGCUUUUUACAGCAUCAUAAUUGGCUGUUGCAGUUUCUUUCAAUAAUCUGCAUAAUGACGCCGUUUGAAAGUUUUUAGCUUGGUUACAUAGCACGUAACAAGUAAAUUUGAUAUUACAGACGGCCACUUGGUGGGAAGAAGAUGUUGAUACAGAGUUAUCUUCUGCAUGGCGUAGUUGAAUGGCUGAAGCAGCUGCAAUCUGAAACCUUAACUACUACAUCAAUGUUCAUUGUUGACUGAAGAGAAUCCAUCAGUACUGAUCUGAAAUCGUCUUCUAAUGGGUAUUUGACAGCUUCAGCCGAAACAAAGAGGAACACUGUAAGACUCAAAUUUCAAAUUAAUCUAGAUUGUUACAAAGUUUAUUUUAUUCAUAACAUGGCGGAAUUGUAAUGAAUUUAAAAUUUCCUAAGCAAAUAACUGGAUUUUAGUAAUUUUUAUAUGUAUAUUUUAAUUAUGACAAAACUGUCUAGGGAGUUGAAUAUGAUAAGAUUUUAUUUUACUUUACAAAGUUUAUAUUUAAUGCUAAAUUUUGGAUUAGUUAAACUUGAGAAAAUAAUAUUCACAUUUCAAGUCAUGCAAUAAGCAUUGAAAAGAAACAAACUAAAAUGCAUCAAUUACAAGCUCAUAAAAUUAAGUCCACUAGAUGAAAAAAAAAAAUUAAAUAAAUACUUGAUGUAAUCCCUUCGCAGAUUGCUUUAGUGUUUUGUGUUCGAGUGAAACUCACAAGCUUAUAAGAUCGUUGUAUAAGUAAUAAGAUUUGUAAAUUAAGAGUAUCAUUUCUAUGAGAAAUAAAAUAUAAUUUGUAAUUCAAUAGCUACUAUUAAAUUCGAAGUAUGGUGACAUCAAAAGAGCUGUGAUUUAUUUGUUAUUUAUUCUAAUUCUACUCUAAGAAAGCGAUAAAAAGUGAUUAAAUAUAAUAUGAAUGCUUGUAUUUGAUUCAUGUAUCCCUUUGUUUUUAUCUAUUUCAAUUCUCAAUAAUCGUUUUAUUCAAUUCAUGCAUUUUUUACAACCAAUAAAACUAAUACAUUAAAUGCUAUUUUCCAAGAUACAUCAAUCUAUAACUAACACGAGACGAUCAUAUUUCUAGUUCGAAUUCAUAUAAAAGUCAUGCAUUCAAUUUAGAUUAUCAAUAAGAUUAAAUGUAUGAAAGAGAUUAUUCAUAAUUCUAACUACAAAUGUUAAUUUUACCCUGUUCUAGACUCAUUGUGAAUAUUCCACACUAUAACAAGCAACUAACUAUUUAAUUGGUGAUCAAGCAAUAAAUAGUGCAAUGGGUGUGUAAAAUCAAUCAAGCAAUAACACAAAAUAUUUAAAUUAAAGUCUUGAAUUGAAAUAAAUGACAAUAUGAUUCAAACAUUCCUCCAAUACAAUUGAAAAACCUAGCUAACCAUCCUAAUUAUUAAACUAUACAAGAAAUAAUAAAAAGACAUUACCUCAAUUUAGAAUAAUGGAGAAAUUGAAACAAUUCAAUUUCUUGGCUUGAAUCUUGACUUUGGAUUAAUGAUCUUCAAUACUUUUAUAAUUUGCAUUUAGUUAAUGAUUGUGCAUUGUUCUUUGUCUCCAAAAUUGAUGAAAUAUGUAUAGAACUAAGUUGAAUGGAGGUUUCCCAUGUUCUGGACUGAUUCUAAGGAUGCAAUGAUGCAUAAGACAAUAAAAAAAACUAUUAUAUUAAUACAUCAAAUCACUAAUCGACCAUAUGUAUACCACAUAAGACUUUUGCAAUAGUAAGCGACUGAAAUAGCAUAACUCAAUUCUAUUUACCUCCUAUACAUAAAUUUAAUUUGUUACAUAUGAAUACGACAUGAGAGAGAGUAUGUGAAAGAGAGAGUUUGGGAGAAUAUAAGAGAGAGAAGGGAGAAUAAAUAAGGGAGAAGUGGGAAAGAAAGUGUGUGUAAGUACUUGACCUAAAAUGAGAAUUGUUGAAAUUCUAUUUGCCUCCUAUACGUAGGUUUAAUUUGUUACAUAUGAAUAUGGAAAUAGAAAGAAUGAGCGACAGAGAGAGUUUAGGAGAAUAUAAGAGAGUGGGACAAUAAAUAAGAUAGAUAGUCGAAAAGAACAAUUGUGCUACACAUCUAAGGUGAAAAGAUGCUCAAAAACUGUGUGACACGUGUCGUCCUACAAUUGAACAAUUUGAAAAAUUAAAACAAAAACAGCCAACCAUUAUCGCCACCUAGGUUUAUCUCAUCCUUCCCUGUUUUUAACCAUAGCUAACUGGCUUUAUUUGAGAAAGAAUGUGUGUGUGAAUGAGAGAGAUGGUUGAGGGAAAUGAGCGAUAAAGAGAGUUGAAAAAUGAUGAUAGAUGCAGAAUAAUGGAGAGAAACGUGUAAGAAUUUGUAUGUAAGUGAGUGAGAGGGAUGAGAGGAAAAAAGGGAAUAGAGAGAGAAUGAUGGAGACGUAGAAAGAACAUUCGGAUAGAAAAGUAAUGUAAAUUCAAUUUUUUUAAAUAAAACGAAUUGAGGUAAUAUACAUAUAACACAAACGAAGUUUAUGAUUGCAAACAAGCAAUAAGAUAAAAUGCAAAAAAUUAAUUGACAGGAAAACGAAGUAUUUUAUUCAAUUGACUAAUAUAGAAAAAAUACAAUAAUUGUACUUACACGAUUAUUUUAUAUUUCAGCAAUACAAAACUUGUGAAGAAAUCUAGUAUUUAAAGAGUGCAUGUCAAACCCUAAAAAUACUACAAAGAUGGAAACAAUAUAAAAAAUCACUUCGAAUAAAGGAAAAAUAUUUUCUAAAAAAUCCAACCAAAUUUGGGUCAAAAACUCAACAAUCUCCACCUUCACUCAAAUUUCAAUACAACGAACAAAGCUUCGAAAUUUGUUCACCUAAAAAACAAUCUGAUUGCAACAAAAAAUUCGAACACUUCAAUAAGAACCAAACUUUUUCCAACACAAAAAUACCCAUCAUUUUCCACAAUAUCCAACAAGAUACAUGAACUCAAACAUCGGGUUUCCCAAAAUUCAUAAACAAUUAAAAAUUAUCAAACGGCGUCAAAGUACACCCUACAACAUAAUCGACUCUCAAUGCCUUCAUAGAAUGCUCCUGGCUAGUCUCAACACCUUCAAAAAUGCUCGAAACAUGUAUAACUGAAUCAACAUCUAUGUACCUAUCUCCAGUUGAUUUAUACCUGGCAGUUGAAUACGAUGGAACCACAAAUAAUGAUUGCAAAACGGAAUUAACUAUAUCUUCCAAACUCGACUGAAUAGAACUCUUCAAUUUGGACCUCGAACCAAAUCUCAAAGGUACAAUAAUAAACUGAAUCUCCAUCACAGUACUAAACUGUACUAACUUUCCUUCACAAAUUAUGUGUGACCUUGCAAGAUGUAUAACUGGCACCUCUUUUGUCCUCCAAUACAACAAGAACACCCUUCCAAAUGCUCAAAACUCCACCUCAUCCAAAGAAUGUGUAUCCUUUUGAAUCAAGAGUAUUCAACAAAAUGAGAUUCUUCUUCAAGUCUAAAAAAUAUCAAGCGUGAUCAAGUAUUCUACAUAUUCUAUUCACCAGCUUCAAUCUGAUUCUACCAAUACUAGCCACCUAACACGGUUCGUUGUUAUCCAUGAUAACGACACAUUGCGUUACCGUUUCAUUAUUUCAAACAAAUUUCGGUUAGGACACAUAUGGAAUGCACAAACUGUAUCCAAAGUCCACUCCCGUCAAGUUUGGAUUCCAUGUCAAAAAUCAUCAAAACAUCUCCAUCACUUAAAUAAUUAUCGGUAUGUUGGCCUUGUACGAAGUAUUUGAUUGCUUUCCAUGAUACACAGUCAAAUUACCUUUGUUCUGCAAUUUGUCACAAUCCUCUGAAUGUGACAUUUCUUCAUGCAAUAAUAAUAAACUUGAUUACUGAAAUUUAAUCUCGUCUUACGCAUUCUCCGAUCACCAUGAACAACAAGGCCUUUUCCAUCUCUAACCUCAUAUCCAACUAGAUGCUUCAUAUUUUCUUUUGAGAACAAAGCAGCAUACACAUCUUCAAUAGUGAAAGAAUCAUGACUAUACAAGAUCAUGUCUCUAAAUGAAGCUGAUAGUGAACACAAAAGGAUUAAGACCUAAUCAUCUUUAUUAUACUUUACCUUUAAAGUCUUCGAAUCAGCAAUGAUCUUUUGAACACAGCUAGAUGAUCUUUCAAAGAUCCACUUUCUACCAUGCAAUGAGAAUACAGUCUUUACUUCAAAUACAAUUUGUUUGUCAAACAUUUAAUCAUGCACAAUAAUUCCAACUUCAACCACAAUGCAACUGCCAUUUUCUUCUUCAAAACGUCCUAAAAAAAUAUUAUUAGAGAGAUGAAGAUGGAUCUAGGAAAGUGCUUUUCGAACUUUUCGUUGUUUCUUCUCCACCGUCCAAUUUGUGGGCAUCUUGUCAAAAUUCCAACAACUCAUCAUCCAAAUCCAUCAGUGCAGUAUAGCUCACAUCUCCACCUACCACAACGAGAAUCUUGUACUACGAUCCAAGGGCAAAAUUUCGUACUUCAUGACUACUAUCAAUAACAAAAACCUCAAACAAAUCACAAUCAAUGACUUCGAUACCACUGAUGGGAAAUAAAACAAAUAGAGGUAAUAUAUAUGACACGAUAUGAAGUAUAUGAUCAUAAACAAACAACAUGAUAAUAGGCAAAUAAUUAAUUGAUAGAGUAACAGAGUAUUUUAUUCAAUUGACUAAUGUGAAGAAAACGAAUACAAUAUUUGUGCUUACACAAUUAUUCUAUAUCUCAGGUGAAAAAAAAAGGUCUAAUAUUUAUAGAAGUGCAUGCCAAAUCCUAGAAAUACCACAAAGAUGGAAACACGAUAAAAAAUCACAUUUAAUAAAGGAAAAAAUAUUUUCUCGAAAAUCCAACCUAGUGUGUGUCAAAAAUACCCAAUGUUAUUCUCAAAAUUCAAGGUGUUACAAACACAAAAAGAAGGAAUGUACAAGCGAAGACUAAUUUGAAUUCUUCUCCUUUACUAAAAACUCGUUGGGGUAGCCGGCAAGGUGGUGUUUUUAUUGCUUAAAUGCUUGUCAUUGUGGAUUCGAGUAGGGUGCAAUCUCAUUUUCAUGUUCUUUUCUCAUUUAACAUAAAUGUAUUUAUUUCUUCUUCCUAGCUCCCAAUAAAGGACGGGGACUUCAGUACAAAACUUCAUUCCAGUUAUUAGUUCUGCCUUGGACCUCUCAUUCUUUGUGCUUAGGAUAAGUACUUCGGGCACAACUAGCUCCCACAGUGUGAUGUACAGUGAAUACAAGGCCCGAGAGAGAAUUGAUUGCCGUAUGGUUGACUUGCCGCUUCAUAUGAGAGAAUUGUAGCUUGUAAAUCGAAGGGAAGACAGGUUUGGAGUUAGCUCACCCUGAUUUGAUCACACUGCCCUUUGUCUCGACUAUCACCCAGUUCAUGUCUCUCUUUUUCUUAUUUCCAUGAAAAUCUUUAUGGGAAGAAUCCGUCUUCAGAGAUUUACUUACAAGUGCAGAUUCACAUAUUAAAAAAACUAAACGGUGAUUGAUGUUACCAAAUUGGAUAUCCAAAGGACGGUAUACCUCAAAGACUUCCAUAUGCUUAAUCCUUACAUUCUGGAUUACGAAGUCCUUCGGGUUCGUGGUCCUCGAGAUAAAUACCCCCGAGGACUUGACUCUCACCUCCAUGGGAUACGAUUGUUAGAGUCCUCGAGACAUGGUCCUCAGUCAAGGCUCUCGAGGACAUCUUCAUGAUGCAUAUGAUUAUCCAAUAGAAGUCUCGCCUCCUAAGGGACUCUACCUCAACUAUCUUACCUCAAACAUGAUUGGUCUUGUGACUAUUAUGCAAAUAGGACUCUAUUGGAUAAGAAUACCCAACUAUCUCCCUCUAUAAGUGCAAAGGUUUGGAUCAUUCUUCAGGUACAUUUUUACAUAUAAUUUCCUUAUACAUUCUUUCAUAAAUUUCUUGUUUGACUUAAGUAUUGGAGGGACGACAAGAACACAUCUCGUUGCCUUUGUUUCAGGUACCUAAAGACUACAAUCAUGCUCAUUCACAAUCCUAAAACUCAGGAAAUCAGCAUGUGCAAAUUUUUUGUAGCAUCAGUGACCAAUAUGCUCAUUUACAUAGACGUGAAAGGAUUGUGGACGCAGGUUUCUCAUUCUUAGGUACAUUAUAAAUAGAAACUGCCCCAUCCUAACCAAACAUAUAAUUUUCGGACACUAAUAAUGUAACCCUAACCAUAAGUAGAAUCAAUAAGCCUCUGUCAUGGAAGAAUUCUACAAAUGAUUUAAUUUAUAAAUAAUUGAGUAAUGAAUAAGUGAACAGUAUUUGUAGAUCUACUGAAACAUGUGAUUGAAAUUGAAGUUUGACGAUUUACAACAUAAUUUAUAAAUUUUGCCAAACGGGGGCCAAGAGAAUGAGAGGAGAAGCAACUUGGGAUGCACCACCAAUUACAAGAGCCAUCUCUUUGUCCUUUCAUGCUUGUUUUGAGGAGAACUCCCUCAAAAAUUUCUUAAUUUCUCGACACCAGUAAAGAAAUCGUUGUUGCGUGGUGAUUCAUCUGCUCUUAACUCAAAUGAAUACAAUGACUGACUUACGCCAUACUUCUAAUGUAAAUUGUGCCAAGUGUUACUGCUAGAUAUAUUACACAAAAGAAAGCGGAGGAACAAAAAAUUAGAAAAUAAAAAUGUAAAACACAUUCAAAUUUUUGCCAAGUUGGCAGAUAAUCAUGCGAUCAUCUAAUGAAAAGAGCUAUGCAUCAGAUUCAAAAUCGGGCUCGGGGGGCUUCGGCAAAUUCAUCAGCCGUGUAGAAGUUGAUUUACGGAGCCUGUGAACUCCUCGCAUAGCAUUAGCUGCAAAUCUUGACGCCAACAUUGUUGCACCAAAGCUGGAAGAAGUACCAGGUACUGAUUCAAUGUCUGUACCUUCGUCUUCGAGUUCAUUCCGGCGAAGUUCUGCAUUUUUCCUCCGGGAAUACCGGCGCCAUGCAGCUUGAAUAAAGCUGGCAGCCCAAGUCCUCCACUGCUGAGAGUAGAAACGAAACGUGUGCUGAACCUGGCGACUGUGAAUGCGCCUAAACUGACUCGUGAUGAAUUUUACUUCAUCAGCUAUCAAAGCAAAUGCCUCAACCUCCGUCAAAGCUUUUACAGUCCUGGUAGAAGGGGGUAAGUUGGAACCGGCUUUAGGAUCCAGAGCCCAUGUGAGGAGUUCCUCCCCACAAAAGUCACCUUCUUUAAGGAAACCACGGUUGAAAAAACCAGAUCUGCCACCAUCUGUUGUUACACUCUCCAGACGACCACGGAUGAUAAAGAGCAUUUCAUCAACUGGAUCACCUUCCCGAACUAUAUAUGUACUUUCUGUGUAUAGACUCGGUUUAAGCCGUUCACAAAUGGCAUCAAGCAAUCUAUCGUCCAUAUUUGCGAAAAGAGGAACCUGAAUUGUAUAUUUAUUAGCCGUGUAAACUAUGUUUUCGAAGUAAAUUACCAGAAUUAACUUUUUGUUUCUUAAUUUUAGAUCAGACUCUUAGUCUGCUACUUAAUUUUUGAAUAGAACGUGAAUUAACUUGUUAAAUGAAACAUUUAUUUUGUUGAGUGUCUGUUAUCUUCGUUUUCCUCUUUCUCCUUUUGUUGUCUACAUUUUGCGGCUUCCCACCCCAUUUUCUCUUGGAUCCACUAUCAAAAUCGUAUGUGGCUGAUUUUUACUGCCUUCUCGGGUCCUCAUUUGGAUUUUAUUUGGGAAACAAAAUAAACGAACUGAACUACUGAUUGGAAAUGGAAUGCAAUAUCAUGUUUUAUAUUUUUUCUUCCUAAAUUAAUGUAAUAACCAUCCGGAGUUCUGAAUCAGUGCUAUCAUCUAUGGAGAAGUUAUCUUGAAUUAUUAAGAGCAGGAAAAUUGUUUCCUAAUCUUUCGCCCUGCCCACCACUCUGGUUCUUCUCUUUGAUCAUUUCCCCGCUUCUCAAGGAGGGGACUUUCUCUCCCAACCAAGGGUAGAAGUAAGCGAACUACUCCUCUCUGCUCAACCAUUCUUGCUCAAGCUGGGGAGCAAUCCCAGUUCGGUAAUUAGCUAAGGAAACUACAAUCCUUCGCCUUUUUAUAUUUCAAAUCUGGAACAAACCGGAGGAGAAGAUUGACCCAUUUGGUGACUUUCGCAGUCGCCCUCACUAAACCAACUUUAAUCUGAACUAUGAUUCCAACAGUCUUUCUUCAGAGUUCUACUGAACAGGUUGAUCCUUUCCUCCCCUGUUUGUUUUAGUAACUUAUCCUAAGGUCUUCUCACCAAGAGUCCCCGGUGACGACAGAGGAAGCAACCCGCCUGCUGUGGUAGGGUUAGGUUGGGUCUUCUUUGCAAAACCUCCUGAAACACUCUGAUGGAAAAGGUUUAAAGAACCCUAAAAUCUCUUCGUAAAGUAGUUCGGCGUAGCAAGUUACAAAGAGGAAUAAACCUAAAGUAAGAUGGCUUGUUGUGGUUGUUAAGGAUUUAGUUUCUAUACAUCUCCAGGUAGAUCUAACGAAAGAAUGAAGCGGAGUGAUGAAAAAGGAUCAAUGUAGCUGACAAUAAGUCGACACAAAGUAAUGGUAAUAAGGCUUCAUAGAUAAUGAUGAUUCUUUAUCUUAUUAAUGGUGUUUCUGGAUAAUGCAGGAAAAAUUUGCAUCUUCCACACCUUGUCUUCUCUUUAACUUGGAACUUGACACACUACGGUAUGCAGAAGCUAUUUGUGAAUUAUGAUGGAUUAUCAAGCUCCAUAUUGAUGUUUCUAUGCAAUACCUUUGACAAACAUUAAUCAAAAUGUGCAGAGCUGAUCUGGGUCUUUUGGGUUUCCCGCCCAAAGAUUUACAUUUUCGUUUUCUUUCUCAAUUUAUUCCAGUCUUUUACAUACGAACAAGAGAUUACUCAAAGGUACUGUCCUGAUGAUCACAAUUUUAUGAGCAUUUCCUUUUAUCUUAUCUUGACAUUUUAUCUAGAAUACUAAAUAUUUUGUACUGAAAAAGACAGUUGCAGUGGCACCUUAUCUGGUGAAUUACAGUGGAGCAUUAUUUCGUCAAUACCCGGGUGACUAAUAGUUCUGUUUAGUUGUUUUUUUCCUCUUUCCAGCUAUCUAUUUUCUUCAAUUUUUUCAUUUCCAGUUCACUCUUAACUCUUUUAGUGUGUUGGAGAGGACUCAAAUAUAUAAAUACUAUGAGCAUGUUUGACUAAGCUUAAAAAGUAAAUUUAUAAACAAAUAAGAAAGUUUUAAAAUCAAUAAUUUUUUUGAUUGCUUAAAUCUGUAAAUGAGUUAUGUUACUUCGACACUAAGGGUCAAGUUCUUUCAAAAUAAGUAACUUCUUUUAGAUACUUAAAAGUAAUCUAACCCAACAUGUUUGGAAUACUGAUUUUUACAUUGCUUAGCCAAACAUGGUCUAUAUCUUGUCUGAAAAUGUACCUGAAUGAAGAAAAAGGUAGAUAGUAACAAUGAUUCAGUUUUAAUUCAUUUAACUUCAAUAAUCAUAUAAUAAACCCUUUGCGAUUGCUUCUUCA